UAAGGAAUCUUUCGCAAUGGGGGCAACCCUGACGAAGCAACACCGCGUGGAGGAUGAAGGCGUUUUCGUCGUAAACUCCUUUUUUGAGGGAAUAACUCUGAAGGUACCUCAAGAAUAAGCAUCGGCUAACUACGUGCCAGCAGCCGCGGUAAGACGUAGGAUGCAAGCGUUAUCCGGAAUUAUUGGGUGUAAAGCGUUCGUAGGUGGUUUGUUAAGUUGGAUGUUAAAGACUCGAGCUCAACUCGGGGAAGGUGUCCAAAACUGGCAGGCUUGAGAUAUGUAGAGGCAAGUGGAAUUCUGUAUGUAGGGGUAAUAUCCGUAGAGAUACAGAGGAACACCAAAAGCGAAGGCAGCUUGCUGGACAUAUUCUGACACUCAAGAACGAAAGCGUGGGGAGCAAACGGG
rnacentral:rRNA from 1 species